GGUAUAGCCAAGCGGUAAGGCAACAGACUUUGACUCUGUCAUUCGUAGGUUCGAGUCCUGCUACC
rnacentral:tRNA from 1 species